GACGAACGCUGGCGGCGUGCUUAACACAUGCAAGUCGAGCGAGGCCCUCUUCGGGAGGAGCCUAGCGGCGAACGGGUGAGUAACACGUGGGCAAUCUACCUCUAGCACUGGGAUAACUCCGGGAAACCGGGGCUAAUACCGGAUACGAUCUUCGAGGGCAUCCUCCGGAGAUGGAAAGGAUCCUGGCUAGGGAUGAGCCCGCGGCCUAUCAGCUUGUUGGCGGGGUAAUGGCCC
rnacentral:rRNA from 1 species